UCGAGCGGAUGACGGGAGCUUGCUCCUUGAUUCAGCGGCGGACGGGUGAGUAAUGCCUAGGAAUCUGCCUGGUAGUGGGGGACAACGUUCCGAAAGGAGCGCUAAUACCGCAUACGUCCUACGGGAGAAAGUGGGGGAUCUUCGGACCUCACGCUAUCAGAUGAGCCUAGGUCGGAUUAGCUAGUUGGUGAGGUAAAGGCUCACCAAGGCGACGAUCCGUAACUGGUCUGAGAGGAUGAUCAGUCACACUGGAACUGAGACACGGUCCAGACUCCUACGGGAGGCAGCAGUGGGGAAUAUUGGACAAUGGGCGAAAGCCUGAUCCAGCCAUGCCGCGUGUGUGAAGAAGGUCUUCGGAUUGUAAAGCACUUUAAGUUGGGAGGAAGGGCAGUAAGUUAAUACCUUGCUGUUUUGACGUUACCGACAGAAUAAGCACCGGCUAACUCUGUGCCAGCAGCCGCGGUAAUACAGAGGGUGCAAGCGUUAAUCGGAAUUACUGGGCGUAAAGCGCGCGUACGUGGUUCGUUAAGUUGGAUGUGAAAGCCCCGGGCUCAACCUGGGAACUGCAUCCAAAACUGGCGAGCUAGAGUAUGGUAUAGGGUGGUGGAAU
rnacentral:rRNA from 1 species